GCCUAACUGGUCAGCAGGCCAGGCCUAAAGCACCCCAGCACACCCCACAGCACCGGCUCAGUGUGUGCCCACGAUCUCCCCAGUCAAGGAGCCAAUCCUGAGUGAAGCCCUCCAAGAUCCUGCAGGAGCAGCUCCUUGGCCCAUCAAUAUCCUGUCCUGAGUCAUCAUUGUCACAGGAUCACAGCAGCCCUGUUUGGUUUGGGUUGGAAUGGACCUUAAGUCAUUAAAGGGAUAUCCCUGCCACCCAAACCUCUCCUGCCACAGUCAGUGCCUGAAGCUCCCACAAGCCAGGCACUCCCCGGUGUGACAGCCUGGACAGAACUCCCAGAGCAGGAGGCGCUGUCAAACACAGCCAAGGUUUAGUAACAGAGGAUAUUUCCAUGACUUCCCUCAGCAGAGCCUCCUGGCCUUUUCCUAACAGCAAGUUUUCUUUUAUUUUGUUUUCAUUUAUUCUUUACUUUAUAUUUAUUUAUUAUUUUUAUUUUCUUAUUUGUAUUAUUUUACUUAUUUCUUAAAAAUUAUUAUUUUUUUUUAAAUAUUUAUUCAUUGUAACAAGAUUUUGUUAUAUUUUAAUUUUAUUUUCAAUUUUUAUAUAAGUUAUUUAUUUAUUUAUUUUUAUUUUUUUCUUUUUCUAUUGUCUUCAGAUCCAGAAUGUCUUCAGAUCAGGAAGUCUCAGCAUAACCAGGAACUUUCUCUGUGACUGUAAAUAGUUUUUGGUUCCCUUUUUCAUUUUCUAAGAAGCUGAGAUAAUUUCAUGUUUCUCCCACUCUGUCAGCUGUUUGCACAGACAGUUCUUCAAGACAGAUAUUAUCCCACAUUAUUAUUUAAAAAAUGUAAUGAAAACAGGCUGCUGGUAUCAAUUGUGAUAAAAAAUGUUAUAAAAAUCCACACAAACUACAUUUUUCACUAAACUCCUCUGUCCAAAUUAUGAAACUGGAUAUUUUUAAUCUCAAAAUUUAAGUAAAACAUAAAAAAUUUUAAAAAAUAAACAACAACAACAACAACAAAAAAAAAACUUUACUGUACCCAGGUCACUCAAAAUCCAACCCAUUUUUCUUUCCCCGUAAGUUUCACAUGGAGGUGGACAAAUGUUUCAUUUCAUUCCAAGUGGUGUUAUCAGCCCUGUGGGGAUCCCUUAUCACUCCCAAGACCUGGCAGUGUUUUGUCAUCCAAAGCCAGUGGGAAGAAGCUAUAACAGAGGUCACCUGAAGCACUUUUUGUUUUCCAGAAAUCUCUAUCCUUCCCCAGCUGGGUUCAAACUGGGGUGCUCUUUUCCAGGUGAUCUAUUUCCAAAAUUGAAGUGACAAUCCCCACAGAAACUAGAAAUGAAAUACAAAAGAAUCGUAAGAUCUGACCAGAUCCCCUUCAUUUUGCACUUGUUAGAGCUUCUGUGAUGAAACUGAAAAUCAUAAGUGAGGCACAGGAUCUGGAUUUGCACAGGGAAAUUAUUGAAUUGAUAGGUGCCAUAUCCCAGUUCUGAUGCUGCUUAAAAGUUAGGUGAGCCCCUGAGCCAAUAAAUGUGAUGUGAGUGAUGCUGAAAGAUUUGUUGGUGGACUUCCUUUCAUCUCAUCCCUAUUUUUAUUUCCUUGUUACAGAAGCCAGAGAAAACUCUGUGCGGGAAACCUGGAUUAUGAUAAAUCAAAGCUCAGUUAAUCAGGAAGCAUCCAGUUGACUUCAAUGUGAUUAGGACUAGGGCUUGGCAUCUCUUAAUUUUAGUCUUACAAAUUCCCUCUAGCAAAUUAGAAAAAGAAUUAUUAGUUACUAUUCAAAAUUCACUGGAAUUUAUUAAAAACUCAGCUGGGUAUCACCCUGAGGAAGCUGGUCUAGUGUUGGAGCUGCUCUGGUUUGGAGCAAGUGGUUUGAACAGAUCAGAGGUUUUUCUUAAAAAUAUAUCAAGAAAACCCCCCAACUCUCCAGAAAAAAAUACUACAACUAAUUCUUAUGUCUCAAACAUUUUCCGCACUUUCAUAAGAAGAAAUAGCUUUGGUCUCAUAGAAAUAGCAGCUCCUAUCUUAAAUUAUGGAAUUUUUGGAAUUUCUCCAUCUGAGCCCUAACUGAGGUUUCAUGCUCAUGCUAAUCAAAGCAGCAGGACACAGCAGAUCUUUCAGCUUCAUUUUCUCUCAGAGGUACUACAGCCAUCAAAGUUUGACUCUGCCUUUUGGCACGUUGCAAAACUUAAAAAGUGUCAGAAAACUGUCUGGUAUUAAAUAUGGGUAAGGAAUUCACCUCAGGGUGACCUGGGCAGGGCAGAUAUUGGUGGUUUAUUGCAACCAGGGGAAGAAUAACUGGUGAAAACCUCAUUUCUUUUGGGGACCAUGGACCCACUGCAGUUUGAGCCCCUGUAGGAGCCCAAGGCUGCCCUUGGAGCUCUGUGUGCAGAGACACUGAGUAAGUCUUGUUGUAAUUACUGCCGGUGCUCCCACCUGCUCCUCGGUGCACAGAAUACUGAAUUCAUCCUUUGUUCCACUUCGUUAUAAUCCACCAGAGAGAGAAAUGACAGUGUAGAACCUUCAGGUUUGUGUACACAUGGAAGCCCCAGACACGCAGAAAACUGCAAAAUUCUGUGUGGCCUCCAGCAACAAAUGCCAUAAUCCCUGAUCUCCUUAAUACAUGGAUCCCAAAGAAAUACAGGCAUCUAGGAGAGAUAAAACCAACAGGGACUACCCCUGAAGCAAGAGGACAGUCCUGCAACUUGUUUUUAGUGAGGUACACACCCACGUUACUUAAUGAGUCAUAAUUAGGUUUUGUCAUCAGCUUUACACUAAUGAACAUGAUGAACAGGAAAUUCCUCCUUCUGUCAAAUAUUAGUCAGAUCAUUAUGUGGAUGAAGUGUUGGUAGCUGCUGCUGUUCAGCUUCCUGUGCUGGCAGUGGUUAUUGGGAAUUCUGAGCUGAUUUUCAUUGUCCCUUAGCACUUUGAUCUCUACAAGAAGUCUUAACUUGGGCUUCCCACAGCACAUGUGAGUCUCACACAGAUGGAAGGGAAGGGAAAUAAUUCAGUGCCAUUUUUUGGGGCACAGCCAUAAGAUCACACAAAAGACAAUUGGAAGAACUUGUUUCUCUGUUAUUGCAUUUCAGAUUAUAGGCACAGUGCUUUUACUAUUUAUCACUGUAAAUAGGUUCUUUUUCUAUCCAGAAAGACAAAGGUACAUUUAAAUGUCUUAACAUGUUUUUAUAUUUUAAGAGUUUUAGAGAAACUUUGAACACUCUAAUGAAAAAUACUUGUAAACACGUACCUAGGAAGAGUUUCUUUUUAUUACUAUUAACUAAAGCAGAACUAAUAAAUAUUUUUCCGUGGCUAUUUAGCAUAUUGUCUACACACACUUUUCAUCAAGACCCAUAUUUUCUUUCACAAUUUUCUGUGUUUUCCAGUAGUCACUGACAAAUUGGGAGAAGAAAAGCAAAAAUAGGAUUCUGGAAAAUCUCCAUAAUUUUACUUGCCACAGCAGAGAAAGAAAGAACCAAGUAAUAAUGAUCUAGGUGGGGAUAAAUCAUUGACUUAAAAAAAAAUAUGUACUAUGUCUGUGCUCAAUUCCUUCAGUUAAUCCACUCUCCAGAUGUUUCUAUAGUCUGAACUUGGAAUAAAAGUAACAUAAACUUCUCAAUUACCCUUCCUAAUGAUAACAUUUGUCCUCACAGCUUGAGCUGGAUUAGUCCCCAAACCAAAGCUGAAACUUUUCUAAGUGCUAGGGCAAAAAAUUUGAGGAAAGAAGGUAUUUUAGCUAGAUGGGGUGUCCACAAGCAGGUUGGAGUGGUGUUUAUGGUCAGACUCCAGAACACAGGAUACACAGGAGCCUUUGGACAGCAGGUGGAACCAAUCCAGUGAAGGGGAUGAGGAAAAAGGUAGAUUUUUCUUUCCAUUCCUACUGGGAGAAUUGGGUAUUCUGAGGAGCAAUUCAGUUACUGAAUUGUUAAUAUCUUUCUCAAAUUACCCAUCUGAAGUCAAAGGAGCAACUCAGUGAUCACCUCCUGGUCUUCCUUGAGGAUGGGAGUUGCUGCUGC